rnacentral:miRNA from 1 species
UGGAGAUAGAUAUAGAAAUCGC